rnacentral:lncRNA from 1 species
AUUUGAUAUUGUAAAGCUAAAGAAGAAGAAUAGUUAUUUCGUCAAUUCUUUGAGAAAGGGAAUUUUAUCUCUAUAUCUAUUCAGAAUAAUCAGACUGGUAAUCGUCGUCAUCACAAUCUAGGUAGUUCAUUUCCUUCGCCGAUAACGAUGUCACCGUCGUCCUCCAUCUACAGGUUUGAUUCCACAAUUUCUGACUUCUGGUGGAUUCUAAAAUUCUAACAUAGUGUACAACAUAUGGUUUAAAAUAAUUUAUUACGUUCUUUUAGUGAUUUUAGCACAAUUCAUUGGUCGGCCAAAAAAACAUAUAAGUUUAGUUUUCCCCCUAUUUUUUCUUUUAAAAUACAAUAAUUUGUUUGCCAUUAGAGUAAGAAUUGUUUCUGAUUAUUUGAAUAACUGUUAACGAACAUCUAAAUCAAUAAGCUUACGAUUCGAAAUUAUUUAUCCUCCGCUCUCUCUGGCGCCCUUGUUUUACCAAAUUUAGAUUUUGGUCAAUUGUCGCCGAUUUUUUGGAUGGUCUAAAUUCCAAAAAAUACAAAAUAUUCGAACUUUCUUAUCUCUAUUUAAACGAAAAAUACAUAGAUUAUUGCUCCAGCUCGUCGCAAUCCAUCACCGCCGGCCUGAUUUUCUUUAACUUCAAGAGCUACAAUCUAGUUCUAUUAUUCCUCUCUUGUCUUAUUAUUUUAAUAGUUUGAUAUUUCAUUGUAACUGUAUUUCCUAGUCUGCCUUUUUUUAUUCUUGGAUCUUUAGUUAGUAUUUGCCUUAGUAUUGUCAAACUAUAUACAUUUGUGAUUGCUUUGACUACUUAUUUCUAUUGUAAUACACUUGUUCAUAUUUUUAUUUUGUAUCUUUAUUUUAAAUAUCCCUAGUAAUUCUGUUCUAGUUUUGCACAUUUUUUAUAACCUUUUGUUAUAGAUUACAGUACCUUGAUUUUAUUACUUCAUGUGUUUAUCUAACCUUUAGUUGUAAAUUAUAGUUCCCGUUAGUUAUUUUAUUUGAUUUCUUCACCUGUUUUGUGACCUUUAGUGGUAGAUUGUAUUUCAGUAAUUUAUUUUAUUUUUGUCACUUGUUUUUGGGAUAGUACUUAGACAAAAGGAGUUGCUCUGAUGGUAAGCAACCCCCACUUCCAACCGAGAGGUUGUGAGUUCGAGUCUCC